UACGUAGGGUGCAAGCGUUAAUCGGAAUUACUGGGCGUAAAGCGUGCGCAGGCGGUUAUGUAAGACAGGUGUGAAAUGCCCGGGCUUAACCUGGGGGCUGCAUUUGAUACGUGUUGUCUUGAGUUCGGAAGAGGGUCGUGGAAUUCCCAGUGUAGAGGUGAAAUUCGUAGACAUUGGGAAGAACACCGGCGGCGAAGGCGGCGACCUGGUCCGACACUGACGCUGAGGCGCGAAAGCGUGGGGAGCAAACAGG
rnacentral:rRNA from 1 species